UUAAACGGCCGCGGUAUCCUAACCGUGCAAAGGUAGCAUAAUCACUUGUCCCCUAAAUAGGGACUAGAAUGAACGGCUACAUGAGGACUAACCUGUCUCUUACAUUUAAUCAAUGAAACUGAUCUUUCAGUCCAAAAGCUGAAAUUGCCCCAUAAGACGAGAAGACCCUGUGGAGCUUAUUAAACUAACCCCACCACCAUGGAGACUUCGUUUUUAGUUGGGGCGACUAUGGAGCACAAAAGACCCUCCAAAAACCUUCCGCAUAAGAUUAACACAUCGGCUCCCUCGACCCAGUAAGUUUCCCCACUUACCUGAUCAAUGAACCAAGUUACCCCAGGGAUAACAGCGCCAUCCUCUUCAAGAGUCCCCAUCGACAAGAGGGUUUACGACCUCGAUGUUGGAUCAGGACACCCAAAUAGUGCACCCGCUAUUAAUGGUUCGUUUGUUCAACGAUUAA
rnacentral:rRNA from 1 species